GAUGAACGCUAGCGGCAGGCUUAAUAUAUGCAAGUCGAGGGACAGAACAGGUAGCAAUACUGGGUGGUAACCGGCAAACGGGUGCGGAACACGUACACAACCUUCCUUUAAGUGGUGGAUAGCCCAGAGAAAUUUGGAUUAAUUCACCGUAAUAUAGUUGAAUGGCAUCAUUUGAUUAUUAUAGCUACGUCGCAUACUGAUGUGUGUGCGGCUGAUUAGAUAGUUGACGGGGUAACGGCCCACCAAGUCUACGAUCAGUAGCUGAUGUGAAACCAUGAUCAGCCACACGGGAACUAAGACACCGUCCCGCCUCCUACUGGUGGCAGCAAUAAGUAAUAUUGGUCAAUGGACGCAAGUCUGAACCAGCCAUGCCGCGUGAAGGAUUAAGGUCCUCUGGAUUGUAAACUUCUUUUAUUUGGGACGAAAAAGGGCCUUUCUAGGUCAACUGACGGUACCAGAUGAAUAAGCACCGGCUAACUACGUGCCAGCCGCCGCCGUAAUAC
rnacentral:rRNA from 1 species